CUCCCUGCUUAAACAGUUUCGCCUGACCCCAAUAUCUUAUUACCAUAUAAUAUUCGGUGGAGAGGGUGGUUUUGUAAAAUUGUCGAUAAUAGAGAGUUUAAAAGGAUUUGCCAUCACAGGCCGCAGUCCAGACGGAGGCACAUGAGUCGUUAGAUCUAUAACACCGAAAAAAAGGGAAAAAAAGUAGAGACAUUUUAUGGAUAACAAAGCAGCAGCUUGUGAGGAGGUUUCUCAAGAACUGGCCCGUGAGUCACUUAUUGGUAUAUCUUAUUGCAUACCAGAUAAGGUUCCAAAUUCAGAAAUUGUGCCUCAGGCGGUCAACGUUGAGGAAAAGCUUCCGGUCAUGAAUGGCGAUGGAGCUGAAAAGUAUAGAUCCGAACUGAUUUCCAUUUCUUAUAGCCAGUCUACUGAUACUGCAACAUCACCAGAGGCAUGAAAAAACCAUUAGGGUUAGCAAGAACCAAACUUGCUUUGAAACGUUUUUGUAGCAUAUUUCCCAUUUCCUUUUCUAUCAGAAGUUGCGUCGUGAAAGGUUAGUUUGUCGUAACUGUUGUGUUGUGGGUUUACAACCAAUCACGGGUUGUGCUGUCUGUUUCUGUUGAUGUCAAUACGAACAAGAAUAUGCAGAAGAGUUUACGUACAAAUUAAAGUACUUGAUACGGUGAAUAUGUGUUUCUAUAAAAAUUAAACCAGUUUGUUGUUGUCACUCGCUUUUUGUGGUUUAUAUUGCACAGCCGCGGAAGUGUUUUAUGUGAAAAAUAAAUGUACUUUGGUAACAGUGCGUUGUUGUCACUUGCUUCUCGUGGUUUACAUUGCACAACCGCUGCUUGACUUUCCUAGGAGUUGUAUGAGCCUGCAUGUAUAUUCCUGGAAUUUUCUUCUUACUUUAGUAGUUUAGUUCAGCAAAUUCUUUUCUUAACAUGGAUUUGAUUAUUAGCUUAGCAGAAAUAUUCACUCCAUUCCUGCUCACUAUUUUGAUGACACUGGUUUUCUUGAGCUUUUUCUCUCAUUCUUGGGCAAUUACCUGGCAGAUUUACUAUAAGCUGGCCAGUAAGUAAACAAAUUUCAUGAGGCUGUCUCUUGCAGAGCAGAGUUGUAGGAAGGGACAGAGUGUGUCAUUAACUUCGUAUUGUUUGUUUGCCGCUUAUAUGCUUUCAGGUGCUCCUUGAAUCAUUGCAGUUUUUCUGCGUGAAUUACACUGUCAAGCUGUUAGAUAUAGAGGCUACCCAAGGGUCAGGCCCAGCAUCCAUGCAGGAAGGCCACAUUUCUUUUAGCAACUAUUGUGGUAAUUUUAAUUGCCAAUAAAAAGUUCUAACGCGUCGACAUCCCCUACUUCUGCUAAAUUUCUUUUUUCUACCCUUUAUCUUUUUGUGUCUCAAGGUGGGGGUUCAUUUUUACUUCAGUGGUUCUGAUAAUAGAAUUGUCGCAUCACAUUUUAUAAAUGUGUAUCGAAUAGUUAUUGGAACUUUACUAUAUUCCUUGGUAUCCUUUCGGGUUCAGAAGGUGGAAUUCAGGAUAUGGUGCCUGGUUAGAGAAAUCUCCAGUACCGUGUAGGAUUUCCACUAGCUUUAUCCGUUAUGUGUGAUUUUGAUAGUUGAUUGUUGGCCUUGGUGAAGAAUUUAGGUUUGAUUUGCUGAGAUCAUUUAGACCCCUCUAGCUUUUUACAUCUUCCAUGGAAAGAACCCCAAAAAUACACCUAUUGAAUCUCAUUUCAACUGUGAUCAAUCUCUAUUAUGUUUUCUAGGUCACUUUGCUAGCUCAAUCCAAACAUCGCCUUGCACUCGUGAUUCUGAUAUGCCCUGUGUAGUUAGUAGGGUACAAAGUUCACCUGUCCAGAAGUGUUCAGCUCUUCUUUUCGUUUCUUCUGACUGAUCCUGCUGUUGGAAUUUUAGGCUUUAUCCUUGAUGAACCAGCCUGAUAACUGAUGAAUAAGGUUUCCUUCUCUCCUUAAAAUCCUUGAUGAACCAGUCUGAUGCUGCUGUGCUCAUUCCAGGUGAAGAAGAAGUUGUUAAGGAUUCUACGAGCUGUUCUAGAUGGAAGGAGGACGAGAAAGAAUGGUAAUCUAUCAGUCCGAGAGACGCAAAGAUACGAUUGAUAUGCUAAUAGAAAUUGAAGUGAAAAGGGUAAAAAUUUUUAUGAGGAGAUCAUAGAGUUAAUCCUUAUGUGCUUAAUUGUUGACCAUGAGUCUUCUGCCCAUGCCAAUAAUGUGGGCAAUUGUCCUCCUAGAUGAACAUCCAGAAUAUUUCAAUCAUGCAAAGGUGAGUGAAAAUCUCAGUGGUUCUUGAAUAUAUAUAGUUAUUUAAGCUAAACUUGCACAGUCCAUGCACUUCCUGAAAACCCUUACAAUUUGGAGAUAUGUAUAGUGAUUUUCAUUUUCCAAUUAACAUUUGGUAUGCUGUUGAAUUACUUGUUCAACUUUUGUUAGUAGAAAUUCCUGCUUGCAAAUGACUAUAGUUUUUUUGUGCAUCCAACUUUGUUAUACAAAACUAGGACCCAUAUCCCAUAGGCCUCUCCCUUUAAGUUUUGGCAGAACAGGAGGAGAUAUUAAGAAGAAGAUUUAUCCGGACCCGAAUAAAUUCAAUCCUUCGAGAUGGAAUGCAAGAGAGGACACAUUUCUUGCUUAUUAGAUGAAUGUGUUCCCAUUUUUAAUUCAGUCGCAUAUGUUGUGUGCUAAAGCAUGCAAGACAUAGAUUCUGUGUAGGAACAUAGACCGAAAUCUAGCUCUGAUAUUCCAUUUGGAAUAGGAAGUAGGCUGUGCCCUGGAGGUGAUCUAGACAACCUUGAAAUUUCUAUCUUCCUUCAUUGUUUACUCCUUAACUACAACAAAACCAUGCUGGUGGACUCGUGGUCAUCUUUCAGCAAUCAAUCAGAAGUGAUUGUAUGGUUUCUGAUGUCGCUUGUUAAAACUUCACUUGGACCUCGGCUCUCUUCACAGAUAAAUGAGGCUCGAGAUGUAGGUGUUACCUGUAAAAUGAUUCUAUAAUAUUUAAGUCAAUAUAGUAUUUGAAAGGUUAUAAGAAAAAUGUAAAGAGAGUUAUUACAAGUAUAUAAUUGUGAAUGAGAUUCUUCAUCUUUAUUUUACCUUAUAUAA